UACAGAGGGUGCAAGCGUUGUUCGGAAUUAUUGGGCGUAAAGAGCGUGUAGGCGGUUAGGUAGGUCCGUUGUGAAAACUCGAGGCUCAACCUCGAGACGCCGAUGGAAACCAUCUGACUAGAGUCCGGAAGAGGAGAGUGGAAUUCCUGGUGUAGCGGUGAAAUGCGCAGAUAUCAGGAAGAACACCCGUGGCUAAGGCGGCUCUCUAGUACGGUACUGACGCUGAGACGCGAAAGCGUGGGGAGCGAACAGG
rnacentral:rRNA from 1 species